UGAAAUUCAUUAUUGUUCCGUUGCAUGGGCGGGCGGCUGGCAAGUUAGCUAACACGGUCGUGGCCUCGUGAAAAAAAGGAAGCUGCACAAAAUUAAAAUGACACGCUUUCUUUGCCCCGUUAAAAUGCACAAUAUAUUGUUUUCUACAUGAACGGGAGACUGCGCAAAUAAAUGUCAAAUUAAUGCAUUUUCUCCAUGACUAGUUUAUCAAUGAUUGAAGUUUCCUGCGUGGUCUAAUGAGCGUUGCUAUUGUGUACUGUGGCGGUGACGUGGUGGUGGUGUGCUGUGAUGUAGUGCUGUGGUGGUGGUGUGUGCUGUGGUGCAGGUUUAAUCGUCAGGAGAAUUACUUAUUUUACAGUAAGUAACUCCUCAUCCUCCCACUUCACCCAACCCAUUCAAGAGAGAGAAAAAAACGAUAAAUAAAUAAAAUAAAUAAGUAAAUAAAUUGCAGAAAAUACGAUCUUGACUUCGAUGAUAUAAUGAAUGAUCUCUAUAAACACAUCGAUCUGUUUCAAUGAUAUAUGUUGGUUGCCAGUUUUAGAUUACUGCCAGUUUUAGAUUACUUAUAUACAGUAACCUCCGUCUUUGUGGGAAAAAAAGUGGCGCCUACCCAUAAGAUAAGAAAAAGGAGGAGAAAACUGCAAGAAUCAAUAAGUUUACACGUGGCAGCCCAUGUAUCAAAUAUGAAUAUCUGUAACACAUGGUGUUUGAUGGUGGUCACUAUACAAAUUAUUUCUGUAUAUUGCUCGUUUCAUAUUUGUUUGUUUCAUAGUAUUUGGUCGUUUCAUAUGAUAACUACCUAGGAAUAAUGAGUGUUAAUGAGUGUUUCAUUUGUGUAUGAAUCCCUCGAGCGGUAAACCGAGGGAAGGUAGCUCAGGGAGGGAGGUCAAGCCGGCAGUCUAUCUGUGCUAUAGCAGCCGCACACACCUUGUUGGAUUGAAACCUGUGGAUUUAUUUCCUGUGAGCGCCAGAGAUUGUUGGACCGUUCACCCUCACGUUCACCAUAUGGGACAAGUAAACACACACAAGAAUGAACGAGUGUCAAUAACGUGGCGUAAUAACAUACCAAGAAGAAAUACCCUUGUCUAACGCCCCUGACUGAUUGCUGGCGUGGUGGCGGGCUCCUCCCCUCACACCGCAGCGGGAUGCCUGGAACACAAGCCCCGCACAGCUCUCCACGCACCGGCUCGUUAGCACCACACUAAACCAACCCAGAACCUGACCCUGAAAAUUGGCCUUCCACUCUUCCCUCUCGCAACAUUUUAUUUCUUUCUCUCAUUUGUUCUUCCCUUCCAUUCUCCCACUCUGCUCUUCUUCGCUCUUCCGUGUUCUUUUAAAUCUUGACAUUUGAAUUCCUCUUGUCUGUUCGAGUGAAGCAAAUAGGACUUUGCUUCGUUCAGAGUUCAAGUACUAUAGGGUUGUACCAUUGCCAACAAAACCUUUUUCGCCGUGCUUUUAUCAAGAGAUCUCAAAUUUUCCGUGGUAUUAUUCAUUUCAGCUUAGGCUCCAGCACACUUGAACACUGUAUGGUUUCAGUGCAAGACAAAUGAUGCUAUCUAUCUAGUUGCUAUCGUAUAUAGUUUUUAAUCAGCAGGAAGCAGAAAGCAAAGGUGAAUGAGUGAAAAGUGAGAAAAAGAUAUUUUUCCUUGAUCAGAACAACUUAAUAUGUUUUCUUCCCCAAAUCGCCUUCAGUUACACAAGACCUCUAACCUAACCCUACAAUGACGCAACAUACUGGCAAUAAAAAAAAAAGAGGAAAAGCAGCGUUUCAACACGUCCUGAGAGCAAGACAGAUCCUGGAAGGUUGGACUCGACUGGACUCAGCUCUCUGGACGUCUCUUACUCCUCAACAAAGCGAGGCGAGGCGAGGCGACCAGCGGGGCUCAUAUACCCGACCCCGCCAUUCAGGGGAAAGCCUCCUGAUCCGCUCUGACCGCCUCACGCACUUGCACCGGCUAAGGCAAAGCAAUAAAAGGAAGCAAAAGGAAGACGAUGCUGCUGCUAAACUCAGGAUGAAACUGACCGCACAGGUAUAUCUUCUUCUUUACUUCCCACGACCUGCACACAUUUCUAAAAGGCAAGGCAAGGGAAGGUGAACUGAAGCGAAAA